rnacentral:rRNA from 1 species
UACGUAGGGGGCAAGCGUUGUCCGGAUUUAUUGGGCGUAAAGAGCGUGUAGGCGGUUUGGUAGGUCCGCUGUGAAAACUCGAGGCUCAACCUCGAGACGCCGGUGGAAACCAUCAGGCUAGAGUCCGGAAGAGGAGAGUGGAAUUCCUGGUGUAGCGGUGAAAUGCGCAGAUACCAGGAGGAACACCAAUGGCGAAGGCAGCUCGCUGGAACGGUACUGACGCUGAGGCGGCGAAAAGCGUGGGGAGCAAACAGG